UUGUAGCAAAACAAAUAGCAAUUGCUGUAUGUGGGCUGGGGCUACAGAAAAUAAGGGAUGGCUCCAAUCUGGCUUGUAUUUGUCUAGGGCAACAGAGAGAGAGAGAGAGAAAGAGAAAUAGGAGAACGGUGGCCGUCAAUCCAUUUCUCUUUCAGAUUUCAUUGUCUAAGUUUGUUGCUAAAAACCGAUUUGAUUUGGUUUUUCAUUGCAUCUUUGUGGGAGUUAAGCCAGAUACGGUUGACAGUUUAUUGAUCGUCCCUGUUCUACUGUAGUAGGAAGAGGGUUGCUGGUAGCAUUAUAUAACUCUAAAUAAUAUGGCACAUUGCAACUGGACCUGCACUAUAGAAAUGUGCCCUUGGUGUGUUUGCAAGGUUUCAUCAAUGUCUAAUGGAUCAAUGAACUAUUAAGAUACAAGGUGUUGUGAUUCACUCUACUUUAUACUGUGAGAGACAUCCUUCCCUGAAAGGAAUGUGUGUAAAAAUAAGCACUAUUUAAGACAUAAUAAUUAAUAUAAUAAAGCAUGUAUUAGUUCUAGUUACCUAGGUGAUUAUUGUUUUUUAUUACUACUGCUAAAAUUGAAUCAUUCCUUGUUUACCUUGGUUUAUGUAUACUUGAGAAAGUAAAGGGUGAAUGCUCUUGGAAAUGAUUAGAAUUGAUACUUUACUCUCAUAA